rnacentral:rRNA from 1 species
UAGUGGCGAACGGGUGAGUAACACGUGGGCAAUCUGCCCUUCACUCUGGGACAAGCCCUGGAAACGGGGUCUAAUACCGGAUAACACUCUGUCCUGCAUGGGACGGGGUUAAAAGCUCCGGCGGUGAAGGAUGAGCCCGCGGCCUAUCAGCUUGUUGGUGGGGUAAUGGCCUACCAAGGCGACGACGGGUAGCCGGCCUGAGAGGGCGACCGGCCACACUGGGACUGAGACACGGCCCAGACUCCUACGGGAGGCAGCAGUGGGGAAUAUUGCACAAUGGGCGAAAGCCUGAUGCAGCGACGCCGCGUGAGGGAUGACGGCCUUCGGGUUGUAAACCUCUUUCAGCAGGGAAGAAGCGAAAGUGACGGUACCUGCAGAAGAAGCGCCGGCUAACUACGUGCCAGCAGCCGCGGUAAUACGUAGGGCGCAAGCGUUGUCCGGAAUUAUUGGGCGUAAAGAGCUCGUAGGCGGCUUGUCACGUCGGAUGUGAAAGCCCGGGGCUUAACCCCGGGUCUGCAUUCGAUACGGGCUAGCUAGAGUGUGGUAGGGGAGAUCGGAAUUCCUGGUGUAGCGGUGAAAUGCGCAGAUAUCAGGAGGAACACCGGUGGCGAAGGCGGAUCUCUGGGCCAUUACUGACGCUGAGGAGCGAAAGCGUGGGGAGCGAACAGGAUUAGAUACCCUGGUAGUCCACGCCGUAAACGUUGGGAACUAGGUGUUGGCGACAUUCCACGUCGUCAGUGCCGCAGCUAACGCAUUAAGUUCCCCGCCUGGGGAGUACGGCCGCAAGGCUAAAACUCAAGGAAUUGACGGGGGCC